GUGAGAAAAAAAAAAAAGCUGAGAAAAUGGACGUCUGUCGUUCGUCAUCAACUGUUGAAGAUGAUUCUUUCUUUGGUUUCGUGCAUGUCUGUUAGAUCAAAAAGAGAUGUUUAAACACCCUAGAUUUCAAACAUUGGAGGACUUGGAAACACUUUGGGCUGGAAAGAAAGAAACGAAAGAAACGAGAAAAAUGGUGGCAAAAGUCACAAGUCAUUGCUAAUUUCAGCGUCUGACUGCAUGCAUCGGAAGAAAGAACAGCAGCUUUAACCACCCCAACUAAAAGAAAAAACAAAAAAAAAGGGCAAUGCGAAGGUGAGAAAGGUAUAUACUGAUAAAAAUAAAAAGAAUAAAUUUUAACUCGAAAAAAAAAAAAUGGCUCCGGGCUACGGCGCGAACCACCGACAGGUAAACCUCUCUCCCUUGGCGUCCUUUCUCCCCUUCCAUCUUUUGUGUGUGUGUGUGUGUGUGUGUGUGUGUUAAUUCCCCCCUCCACUUCUUUAGGCCUCUUCCAUCUUCGUUUAACCGUGAGGUUGAGUGUGUAUGCGGCGCCAUUUUGAAAAUAAGAAAGAAAAAAGAGAUUCAUGUUCCUAUGGAACGAGCUCGCGCGCGCCCGGCUUUGACCUGACUGAUUUUUUUUCCGUUUGAAAUUUAUUUGAUCUUUCUUUGAGAAAAAAUAGGUGGGGGAUGGUUCGUUUUAAGAAGAGAGAUCAAAUGAGAUUUCGAUGAUUAUAACGCAGACAUCGAUCGUCGCCAACCCUUUUAGCAACAGACACAAACAUUGCAGUCAACACGACACGAGAAAAGUGCAACGCAGAUAAGAUUGCUAUCCAAAAUGGAAUAGGCCUCACAUCUUAAAUAGUUUUGCAUCUUUCAAAAAGGAAAAUGUCCAUCUUUUGAUUUGAUGGAGUGAGCGAGGGGGAGCGUGGCGAUGGGUACGAAAAGUGGGCGGGACCUACACAUUUUUCUUCUUCCUUUCUUGUCCCUUUAGAACAUAGCCGACUGGACCUUGUGUUCCACUUGUUCCAGCAAAACAAAAAGUGGGGUUUUCUUUGUUAGCAAAAGAAGAGGGUGGUGUGUGUGUGCCGUUAUGGCGCAGCAUCCCUCCACCAAACUACCAGUUAACCACUUGAAAAUAAAAAUUAAGUAAAGAAGAACCCCUCAAUCUGAAUGGAUGGAAUGGAAAUAUUCUUCUUCUUCUUCAGAGGUCCAGCCCUUCCAGGGAGAUCGACUUACCUUGACCUUUUGUGUUGGAAGUCGCCAGAGUCAAACAAAAGAAGCAAAAAAGAAAAAAAGGCCCGCCAUUUUCUCGGCUUACCUGUCAAAAAAAGAAAGAGAAAAAAAAACAAAAAACGAUAAGUCAACAGUUUGAAACACUGGAACAAGCAAGAAAAUAAAUCACUUGUGAUUAAAAGAAUAUUGAAAUUUGUCCACAAACAACAACAUCAAACACUUGGACAAAAAACUGCUGUUCAAUCAGGUUCCCCCGCAAUUGAUUACGUUUUGAAGGUGAAAAGUGUGUUCCACAUGCACAUCGUCGUGAUUACACCGCACUUCUUUUAAAACGCGUGCGAAUGACGCCAUAUCCCACCCCCACGUUCGAUGUCGCCAACGGGUUUACGCAUCCAUCAAAGCAGCAGAAGAAUUCGAUCCACCUGGCAGCCAUGGCGCAGAACGGAAAGCCCCAAAUGAUAAACGAAAAUGCGCCACGUUCAUUUCUUGUGAUAUCGUAAAUAUACAAAAGAGAAGGCGACACACGGAACGUUUUCAAAGCCAAGCAGCCCCAAACUGGACGAGAAAAAUGUAAAUCAGCGCAAUUGGGCAUGGCCAUUAAUCCCGAGGAGUUGAGUGCACCAUGUACGGAGCGGCCAAAAAAAAAAUUUCACCUUGCAUUUGCAUGGACUCACACGACGACGUUGAUGACCCAAUCUCGUUGAGAAAAGAAAAGAAAAAUUUUUUUUUUUUUUAAUCUUGUGCUGCGGUGUUUGCCUUUUUGUUUCAUUUGCAUUUUCGUUCCAGCAGCAAGAACACAAAAAAAACAAGACGUGCUCGGAAUGCAUUUGUGCUUCUUCUUUCAAAUGAAGUUGCGUCCCUGUUUCGGUGGGGGCCUUGAUGAAACAAAAAAAAAAACGAGCGGUGCCUGGGCGCUGGUUGGGCUCGCGCCCGCCGACAGCCCAGUGACAUCUCCCCAACUCUUGAAAAAUGUCUUUCAAUGCAAGAGUGGAGGCUUCCAGCAACCGUUUCAGGAUGGAUCGCUUCAUCAACAGACUUUCUUUUUCGAUUCUUUUCUUUCGAUCAUUCUCCGAGACCUGCUCCUUGUUGACCGUUUGUUUCUUCAAAUGCGCGCAACAGGUUUGUUUUGUUUUUUUGUGUGUUUUUUUUUUAUUCCACCCAUUUUUAGUUGGACGUUAUAUUCCAUCAUCCGUCUUGAUUCUUAUAAUUUUUUCACCUCCUCCCCUUUUUCUCCGAGAAAUGGUCAUUUCUCAAAUGUGAUGUCCCUUCCACGAUCUCGUUGACAAGUUCAUCAAAAGAUAAAAAAAAAAAAAGGGAAUGUGGCUUUCCCUCCUCUCUUUUUUGUUGUUGUUUGAUUCAAAUUCUUGUUAUUGGUCCUUGUCUAACCUUUUUUUGUUUUGUUUCUUUUUCAAUAUGCCAAUGAGAAUUGAAAGAAACAAAUAAUCCAAAAACCAAAAUACAAAUAAAAAUGAAUAAA
rnacentral:lncRNA from 1 species